rnacentral:rRNA from 1 species
AUUGAACGCUGGCGGAAUGCUUUACACAUGCAAGUCGAGCGGCAGCACGGGGGCAACCCUGGUGGCGAGCGGCGAACGGGUGAGUAAUACAUCGGAACAUGCCCAGUCGUGGGGGAUAACGCUUCGAAAGAAGUGCUAAUACCGCAUACGUCCUGAGGGGGAAAGCGGGGGAUCGCAAGACCUCGCGCGAUUGGAGUGGCCGAUGUCAGAUUAGCUAGUUGGUGGGGUAAAGGCCUACCAAGGCAACGAUCUGUAGCUGGUCUGAGAGGAUGAUCAGCCACACUGGGACUGAGACACGGCCCAGACUCCUACGGGAGGCAGCAGUGGGGAAUUUUGGACAAUGGGGGCAACCCUGAUCCAGCCAUUCCGCGUGAGUGAAGAAGGCCUUCGGGUUGUAAAGCUCUUUCGGCAGGAACGAAACGGUGAGCUCUAACAUAGCUUGCUAAUGACGGUACCUGAAGAAGAAGCACCGGCUAACUACGUG